rnacentral:rRNA from 1 species
UGGUGGAGUGAUUUGUCUGGUUAAUUCCGUUAACGAACGAGACCUCAGCCUGCUUUGUAGUCGGCCGUAUCCCUUCGCGGGUACGCGUUCCAACUUCUUAGAGGGACUAUCGAUGCGCAGUCGAUGGAAGUUUGAGGCAAUAACA